GACGAACGCUGGCGGCGUGCCUAAUGCAUGCAAGUCGCACGCGGCACCUUCGGGUGCUUAGUGGCGAACGGCUGAGGAACACGUGGGGACCUGUCCGGGAGUGGGGGACAACACCGCGAAAGCGGUGCUAAUCCCGCAUACGCCCUGAGGAGGAAAGCCGAAAGGCGCUCCCGGGUGGCCCUGCGGCCCCUCAGGUUGUUGGUGGGGUAACGGCCUACCAAGCCAAUGACGGGUCGCUGGUCCGUGAGGACGAGCAGCCAGACUGGGAGUGGGACACGGCCCAGACUCCUACGGGAGGCGGCAGAAAGGAAUUUUCGGCAAUGGGCGCAAGCCUGACCGGGCAACGCCGCGUGCAGGAAGACGGCCUUCGGGUUGUAAACGGCUGUUGCUAGGGAGGAUAACAGACAGUACCUGGCGAAUCAGCCCCGGCUAACUCUGUG
rnacentral:rRNA from 1 species